rnacentral:rRNA from 1 species
AACGCGAAGAACCUUACCCAGACUUGACAUGUACUGGACGAUACUAGAGAUAGUAUUUCCCUUCGGGGCCGGUACACAGGUGCUGCAUGGCUGUCGUCAGCUCGUGCCGUGAGGUGUUUGGUUAAGUCCAGCAACGAGCGCAACCCUUAUCAUUAGUUGCCAACACGUAAUGGUGGGAACUCUAAUGAGACUGCCCGGGUUAACCGGGAGGAAGGUGAGGAUGACGUCAAGUCCGCAUGGCCCUUAUGUCUGGGGCUACACACGUGCUACAAUGGUCGGUACAGAAGGCAGCGAAGCCGCGAGGUGGAGCAAAUCCCAAAAGCCGAUCUCAGUUCAGAUUGUAGUCUGCAACUCGACUACAUGAAGACGGAAUUGCUAGUAAUGGCAGGUCAGCAACACUGCCGUGAAUACGUUCCCGGGCCUUGUACACACCGUACGUC